rnacentral:misc_RNA from 1 species
UCUUUACAUUUCCACAUCGCUCGUCGCCAUAAGCUUCUCGACUUCUAUUUAUUCUCGUGUCAAUUCGUCGUUUGCUCACGUGCUUCAAACUCCUCCGAUCGUCCCCUCAAAGCCGUGCUGCUCGACCAGCUUUUUCUUCUUCAUUCUUCGAGUAAUUUCGUAAUAUUCGAGUCAUGUUCGUUCUGAGGCUCUACAAGAGUGCGCGAAAAAACUCGAAUUUUCCUUCCCGAGCUACCGGUUUUUAAGGGCAUUGAAAUCACACUCGCGAGCAUUCGCUCUUCUUCGAGCUGUCGUCAUCGAGACCUUGCAUUUAUAUUCGCGCUCGAGCACGUGUGCAAUCGCAUCCUUAUCUGCGCUCUUAAACUAUUAUUCACUGGCUAUCGACAGCGAUAAGAUAACGUCGAUAUUAAGCUUCUCUUUAAAGAGCUUCAUGUGGCAUAUCGAAGCUCGUAACAUUCGUCGCUCGUGCGUCUCUGUCCACUCGGCGAUUACGAUGCACGAGGCUUGUUACUGGAAUGGGAAAGUUCGCGGAGCACGACUUUCGCCGGCGACUGGAUCCAAUGAGUUAGACAAGAUUCGUGUCCGUGGUGACUCGCUGGCGCAGAAUUUCAGUGGGGAGAGUUUCGAAGAUUCGGAAAAUAUUUUCGACCAAUUUCGCCGAUCGUUCAGCCCGGAAAUCCGCGUUUUUCCAUCAGGCGGAAAACCCUUCAUCCGGAACUGAAAAUCCACCAGCUCUCGAUUCCCGUUUUCGCCUUUCGUUCUUCCGAAGUUCGAGUCGCUUUUUCGCUAGACUUGGCCUCACAGCUGACGUCCUGACGUCCAGCAAAUUUGUCCUAAUGAAGUCCCCAAUUAGCGUCGAUCAACAAGGAAAAUGAGUAAUCGCGGGCGUUCAGCUGCCCACCGGGACGGAGAGCUUCGAACCUUUUUGGGGCAGAAUGAGCCGAAAACAGGGUUUCUCCGGUGCGAGAAGUGUCCAUAUGCUUGUAGCUUCGAUCGCGUUCCAUCGACGGAAAGGAAGGAGCCGGUUCGCACGCGGCGACAGAGUUUAGUCGAGUGCGCGCGCAGGCUGAGUCAUCCCUUGCGCGUGGCGGAGUCUCCCCUCGCGAUGAAGCCACCCCCACGAGGAAGGACGGCCGAAAAAUCGAUCGCGAUUCGAAUGCUCGCGUCGGUUUCGCAGCUCAGACGCCCGAGCGUCUGGCGCGCUGUGCAAUUCUCGGAAAAUUCUCCUAUCGCGUUACGCAAUUGUCGCGAGUUUUGCGCGAUACGUGCACUCGCGGAGGCACGUCAGCUGAUAGACGCGUCUGACGCUCGAGCGUGGAAAAGACCGUUUCGUCGAAACAGUUCCGCGAGCGCCUGGCAUAACGCGAGCCCGACUCGCUUCGCUCCUCCUCGAUACCGCAGAGAAUCAACCUUUUUCAAUCUUCAUCGUCGCUUUUCUCUAUUCCACUCUCGCAUCAGUCUCAAGGACUCGAUGAAGUACGAAAACAGUCCAGCUCGACUCGCGAUGCAAGACGGCAACGGAGACGUGCGGGAAGCUUUUACGAGACGAAUUCCGGCGAACGGAAACGUGCGAAGAAGGUUGUUCGUCGACGCGGAUGAAAACGAGGGGCACGGUCAAGGUCUCUCUGAAAAUCGGACGAACGAAUUUUUCGAGGAUGCUCGCAACAACCUCGAGCAGGCGAAAGAACGAUGGAACUUUGAUUUCGUGACCGAAACACCGCUGCCUGGAAACUACGUUUGGGUGAAGCUCGACAAAGAUGGUAAAGAGGUGCCAGCUCCAGACUCCCCUGGGCAGAAAGACGUGAGCGAAAGCACGAGUGAUCGCGGGGCGUGCCAACUAACCAGGAUUCAAAUGAUGGCAAAGUUGGACGAUCAGUAACCGAAAUUUUCUCGGAUUUCUCGGAUAUUUUGAUAUUGAGAGGACACUUUGUUACUCGAGUAUUAGAUUUUUCGUGUCGAUAUUCAAUUGGAAAUACAAGCGAGGUCAUUGGAAGGAAGUACGAUCACGAGGUCGAGUCCCGGCUUCGGAAGUUGAUUUGAUUUCACGAAAAUUUAUGUCUCGCGGAGUCUGUCGACCGGAAGUGUCGUCAACGGAGUUUUUCUUCCCCAGGAUCCAAAUUUCGCCUUCCAAAAUUGGAUGCUGAUCGACUGACCUCAGAAAUAUGGGCACCGACAGACUACUGGGCAUGAGGGCUCGGAACAGCUGAACUCUGUUUCUUCGUCCCACGAGCUUUUCUUGAGCCCCAGGAAAUGAUCGUACUUCCUUGAACUAGUCAGACAGCUCAAGUUUUUGCUCGAAUGAGUAAAAAGCCUUCUCGAUUAAAAUACGAAACCAAAGUUUCGGGUCAGUGAUGAGAGCGAGGAUUUUCGGAGGCUUUUAUUUAUUCUCGUAUUGUGUGAACUUGAGGAGUCCAAUCUGAUAUUGAAAGCGAGCUUUCCACGCAACGAAAUUGCCUUUCUUUUUUUUAUAUUCUUAGAACUGUCGAAUUACCAUUGAUUUUAAUCAGCAGAAAAUUUAUUAAAUUAUUUAUUAAUACUUUUUUAAUGUGCAAUAUUUAAAAAUCUGUAUUCAUCAUUAUACUCAUACGUAUGACCAGCGCGAGAUUCAUCGUCGCAUUACGUUUUGUAGAAAAACCAAUAAUUAUUGUAAUAUAUUUAUACAACAUUUGA